GCUCGGAUGGUGGAAUUGGUAGACACGACAGACUUAAAAUCUGUUGCCUAAACAUUGGCGUGCGGGUUCGAUUCCCGCUCCGAGUA
rnacentral:tRNA from 1 species